rnacentral:rRNA from 1 species
CUGCUGCCUCCCGUAGGAGUUUGGGCCGUGUCUCAGUCCCAAUGUGGCCGUCCACCCUCUCAGGCCGGCUACUGAUCGUCGCUUUGGUAGGCCGUUACCCUGCCAACUGGCUAAUCAGACGCGGGUCCAUCCCAUACCACCGGAGUUUUUCACACAGGAGCAUGCGCUCCCGUGCGCUUAUGCGGUAUUAGCACCUGUUUCCAGGUGGUAUCCCCCGGUAUGGGGCAGGUUACCCACGCGUUACUCACCCGUCCGCCACUAAG